rnacentral:rRNA from 1 species
CGACCGCCGGCGGCGUGCUUAACACAUGCAAGUCGAACGGAAAGGCCCUGCUUUUGUGGGGUGCUCGAGUGGCGAACGGGUGAGUAACACGUGAGUAACCUGCCCUUGACUUUGGGAUAACUUCAGGAAACUGGGGCUAAUACCGGAUAGGAGCUCCUGCUGCAUGGUGGGGGUUGGAAAGUUUCGGCGGUUGGGGAUGGACUCGCGGCUUAUCAGCUUGUUGGUGGGGUAGUGGCUUACCAAGGCUUUGACGGGUAGCCGGCCUGAGAGGGUGACCGGCCACAUUGGGACUGAGAUACGGCCCAGACUCCUACGGGAGGCAGCAGUGGGGAAUAUUGCACAAUGGGCGGAAGCCUGAUGCAGCAACGCCGCGUGCGGGAUGACGGCCUUCGGGUUGUAAACCGCUUUCGCCUGUGACGAAGCGUGAGUGACGGUAAUGGGUAAAGAAGCACCGGCUAACUACGUG